GCUCAGUAACACGUGGAUAACCUACCCUUAGGACCGGGAUAACCCUGGGAAACUGGGGCUAAUACUGGAUAGAUGAUUUUUCCUGGAAUGGUUUUUUGUUUAAAUGUUUUUUCGCCUAAGGAUGGGUCUGCGGCAGAUUAGGUAGUUGGUUAGGUAAUGGCUUACCAAGCCUAUGAUCGGUACGGGUUGUGAGAGCAAGAGCCCGGAGAUGGAACCUGAGACAAGGUUCCAGACCCUACGGGGUGCAGCAGGCGCGAAACCUCCGCAAUGUACGAAAGUGCGACGGGGGGAUCCCAAGUGUUAUGCUUUUUUGUAUAACUUUUCAUUAGUGUAAAAAGCUUUUAGGAUAAGAGCUGGGCAAGACCGGUGCCAGCCGCCGCGGUAACACCGGCAGCUCGAGUGGUAGCUGUUUUUAUUGGGCCUAAAGCGCUCGUAGCCGGUUUGAUAAGUCUUUGGUGAAAGCUUGUAGCUUAACUAUAAGAAUUGCUGGAGAUACUAUCAGACUUGAAGUCGGGAGAGGUUAGAGGUACUACCGGGGUAGGGGUGAAAUCCUAUAAUCCUGGGAGGACCACCUGUGGCGAAGGCGUCUAACUGGAACGAUCUUGACGGUGAGUAACGAAAGCCAGGGGUGCGAACCGGAUUAGAUACCCGGGUAGUCCUGGCCGUAAACGAUGUGGACUUGGUGUUGGAAUGGCUUUGAGUUGUUCCGGUGCCGAAGGGAAGCUGUUAAGUCCACCGCCUGGGAAGUACGGUCGCAAGACUGAAACUUAAAGGAAUUGGCGGGGGAGCAC
rnacentral:rRNA from 1 species